UACAGAGGGGCAAGCGUUAUUCGGAAUUAUUGGGCGUAAAGGGCGCGUAGGCGGCUUCUCAAGUCAGGGGUGAAAUCCCACGGCUCAACCGUGGAAUUGCCUUUGAAACUGUGAAGCUGGAGUGUCGGAGGGGAUAGCGGGAAUUCCUAAUGUAGAGGUGAAAUUCGUAGAUAUUAGGAGGAACACCGGUGGCGAAGGCGGCUAUCUGG
rnacentral:rRNA from 1 species